rnacentral:lncRNA from 1 species
GCUAUGUAUCUCGACAACUUUUCCUCUCACUAGAAUUCUACUUUUAAUUUUUAUAAUAAUAAUAAAGCCCUGCCCGUUUUAAGUAUUAUAACCCCUGAUCACUGAUGCCCUGUUCGACUGACGUAAGGCCCCGUAACGUAUGUCAAGGCUCUGCCUAAAUUCGUUGGGGUUCUGUCUCGUGACGUAGGGAUAAAAUGGAAUUGGGUUACUAUACUUAAUGUGAGUGCACUAUAUAUUUUAUUAAAUAAUCCAGAAGUUGUACCCAAAAUAUAACAACCCUCCUAGAACACCCCCGACACCCUACACUUCUAAAAUACACCCAUAUGCGAAAACGGGCCCCAAAUAACAUUAAAUAGUAUUAAAAAUAAUUAAAAACUGAAAUAUUAAGUUGAGGCGGGCCGCGUAGGACCCCACCCCAACCUUACGAUGGCGGUUUCAAGGUUGAAUCCUGAUUUCGUUUGAUUUCUUAAGUUCAGGCGGGCCGCGUAAGACCCCGAUUAGUUAACGCGGGCCGCGUGAGAUCAAUAUAGUGGCGCAGCCCGGUGAUGACACGUGUCAUCAUCGUGUCAAGUCUAGUUGGUGAUCCGGACGAGCUACGCUUUGACCGGGGUUUGACGCGAGCCGCGUAGGCCCUUGCCUCCUCUUACGUGGGCCGCGUAAAAGUCGGAUUUUAGCCCUAUAUAAGGAGGCAUCGAGCCUUCAGUCUGUUUCGUUCAAUUUUCUUUUCUCAAUCUCAAUUUCUGAAUAGUAGAAAUUAUACUCGGGUCUAAUACCCCCCUAAAUGGCGAGGUUCUGCUAUGAUGUAAGUAUCAUAACCCCUGGAGACGUGUUAGAUACUCUGCCCGAUUGAUCUAGGGUUCCGUAACGGCUGUCGUGGUUCUGCCCGACGUAGUCGUUGGAAUGCCGUCUCGGGGAGGAUUAUUCCCAGGAAAUCCUUACUGAAAACCCUAAGACAGCAAUGUGAGUAAUCCUCUUUUUGUUAAAUGUUUUUACAAAACCUCACUUAGUUAAAUAUAUACUAAGCAGUUAUUGAGUAUUUGUAAGAAUACAAUUAUCGUGGGUAUGUUGGGGUUUUGUAUACAAAAUUUGUUACUGGCGUGGUAACAUUGUUGAGUAUGACAGUACCACAGAUGUUAAUUGUUGUAUCUUGGAAACAAAUGUAAUUGCGGAUGUGCCCUCAAUACUGUGAAAUGGUUUUUACUUAAAUUUGAUUAAACUAGGAUUCACUCACCAGUAUUUCCUGCUUGUAAAAUAUUUUAAACACGUGUUUCAGGUAACUUUGUGUGAAGCCAAUAAAAGCCAGCUGGAGAGCAUUGGAGGCUUGGAAAAGUGGCAAUAAAGUUACCUAAAAUAAAAUAGAUGUUUUUAUUAAACAAAAUAGGCUUUAUUCCUAUGAAAAUGUGUGUACUAC